GGGCUCAUAGCUCAAUCGGUAGAGCGUGAGACUGAGACUCUUAAGGUCGCGGGUUAGAACCCCGCUAAGUCCA